UUAAAUUGAAGAGUUUGAUCAUGGCUCAGAUUGAACGCUGGCGGCAGGCUUAACACAUGCAAGUCGAACGGUAGAGGGAAGUGCUUGCACUUUUCUUGAGAGUGGCGGACGGGUGAGUAAUGCUUGGGAAUCUGGCUUAUGGAGGGGGAUAACUACGGGAAACUGUAGCUAAUACCGCGUAAUAUCUUCGG
rnacentral:rRNA from 1 species